AAAGGGAGACCUAAUUCAGGUAGGAGACGAAAAAAAAGUAGUCGCUACCAAGAAUCAAUCCCAAAAGGUCGGAGCGAGGCGAAAUUGGCUUUCAAACUAGGUUCUGGGUUCAAACAAGACCUGAAUCAGGAACAAGGGCUAUUAGCUCAGGUGGUUAGAGCGCACCCCUGAUAAGGGUGAGGUCCCUGGUUCGAGUCCAGGAUGGCCCACCUGCACAGGUGGCAAAAACAAAAGAAGCGAGGAAUCAGCACCUUAUCUUAUAUACAUAUAUAAGAGAGAAUGCUGGCUCUGAGUACAGAGUCCAGAGGAACCUUGAAAACUGCAUAGAGCUAGGUGAAAAAGCCAAAAAAGAAGACCGCAAG
rnacentral:tRNA from 1 species